UUCUGGCUCAGGAUGAACGCUAGCUACAGGCCUUAACACAUGCAAGUCGUGGGGCAGCAUGGUGUCGCUGCAACAACCGAUGGCGACCGGCGCACGGGUGAGUAACGCGUAUCCAACCUGGCCCUUAGUAGGGGAUAGCCCGGCGAAAGUCGGAUUAAUACCCUAUGUUUUCCCAUGAGAGCAUUUGAAAGGGAACAAAGAUUCAUCGCUAGGGGAUGGGGAUGCGUCCGAUUAGCUUGCCGGCGGGGUAACGGCCCACCGGGGCGACGAUCGGUAGGGGUUCUGAGAGGAAGGUCCCCCACAUUGGAACUGAGACACGGUCCAAACUCCUACGGGAGGCAGCAGUGAGGAAUAUUGGUCAAUGGGCGAGAGCCUGAACCAGCCCAAGUAGCGUGAGGGAUGACGGCCCUACGGGUUGUAAACCUCUUUUGUACGGGAAUAAAGUGCGCCACGUGUGGCGUUUUGUAUGUACCGUAAGAAUAAGGACCGGCUAAUUCCGUGCCAGCCGCAGC
rnacentral:rRNA from 1 species